rnacentral:lncRNA from 1 species
ACAUUCCUAACUUGGUACAGGUCUUUUACAAUGUUUCACAAGUUGAAUAUCUAGUAACUUAUGAUAAUUCAAUAUCUUUGGUAAGGAAGCACGUAAUAAAAUCAACUUUCAAACCAAACUACAUUGUUUACUAUCAAAGGUUAGUAUCUUGCUACACUAUUUCGUGACUUCAUCCCGAGCAUUGAACCUAUAACAAACUAACAGCAGUUGCAGUGAAAACAGAUACAAAUUGAAAGUAUGUUUAUGACACGACUUGAACAUAAAUGUUCUCUGAAUAAGAUGACCGG